rnacentral:rRNA from 2 species
AGUCGAGCGCACCUUCGGGUGAGCGGCGGACGGGUUAGUAACGCGUGGGAACAUACCCUUUGGUACGGAAUAGCCUCUGGAAACGGAGAGUAAUACCGUAUGAGCCCUUCGGGGGAAAGAUUUAUCGCCAAAGGAUUGGCCCGCGUUAGAUUAGGUAGUUGGUGGGGUAAUGGCCUACCAAGCCUACGAUCUAUAGCUGGUUUUAGAGGAUGAUCAGCAACACUGGGACUGAGACACGGCCCAGACUCCUACGGGAGGCAGCAGUGGGGAAUCUUGGACAAUGGGGGCAACCCUGAUCCAGCCAUGCCGCGUGAGUGAUGAAGGCCUUAGGGUCGUAAAGCUCUUUCGCCUGUGAAGAUAAUGACGGUAGCAGGUAAAGAAACCCCGGCUAACUCCGUGCCAGCAGCCGCGGUAAUACGGAGGGGGUUAGCGUUGUUCGGAAUUACUGGGCGUAAAGCGCACGUAGGCGGACUGGAAAGUUGGGGGUGAAAUCCCAGGGCUCAACCCUGGAACUGCCUCCAAAACUAUCAGUCUAGAGUUCGAGAGAGGUGAGUGGAAUUCCGAGUGUAGAGGUGAAAUUCGUAGAUAUUCGGAGGAACACCAGUGGCGAAGGCGGCUCACUGGCUCGAUACUGACGCUGAGGUGCGAAAGUGUGGGGAGCAAACAGGAUUAGAUACCCUGGUAGUCCACACCGUAAACGAUGAAUGCCAGUCGUCGGGUAGCAUGCUAUUCGGUGACACACCUAACGGAUUAAGCAUUCC